UACGGAGGGAGCUAGCGUUGUUCGGAAUUACUGGGCGUAAAGCGUGCGUAGGCGGCUGUUCAAGUCAGAGGUGAAAGCCUGGAGCUCAACUCCAGAACUGCCUUUGAAACUAGAUAGCUAGAAUCAUGGAGAGGUUAGUGGAAUUCCGAGUGUAGAGGUGAAAUUCGUAGAUAUUCGGAAGAACACCAGUGGCGAAGGCGACUCGCUGGACAAGUAUUGACGCUGAGGUGCGAAAGCGUGGGGAGCAAACAGG
rnacentral:rRNA from 1 species